GGUGGAAAGUUGUACCGCUGAUG
rnacentral:miRNA from 15 species